AAGUCGUAACAAGGUUUCCGUAGGUGAACCUGCGGAAGGAUCAUUAAAGAAAUGAUUUUUUUUUGGGGUUUUUUAACCUCAAAAAAUAAUUCACCUUUUGUGCACUGUUAUAAGAUAUACUUUGGUUAGAGCUUUGAUUUCAAUUAUUGGAAUCAACUUCUUGCUGACUCUAUCCUUUCUGAGGACAGUCGGCUAUGAAGCGGCCUACCAAGGUUUUUUAUCAAACUCUUGUAUUUGUCUGACCUAAACUAUUAUAAAAUCAUAACUUUCAACAACGGAUCUCUUGGCUCUC
rnacentral:misc_RNA from 1 species